CUGAUGCAGCGACGCCGCGUGAGGGAUGACGGCCUUCGGGUUGUAAACCUCUUUCAGCAGGGAAGAAGCCACAAGUGACGGUACCUGCAGAAGAAGCGCCGGCUAACUACGUGCCAGCAGCCGCGGUAAUACGUAGGGCGCAAGCGUUGUCCGGAAUUAUUGGGCGUAAAGAGCUCGUAGGCGGUUUGUCGCGUCUGCUGUGAAAGCCCGGGGCUUAACCCCGGGUGUGCAGUGGGUACGGGCAGACUAGAGUGCAGUAGGGGAGACUGGAAUUCCUGGUGUAGCGGUGGAAUGCGCAGAUAUCAGGAGGAACACCGAUGGCGAAGGCAGGUCUCUGGGCUGUUACUGACGCUGAGGAGCGAAAGCAUGGGGAGCGAACAGGAUUAGAUACCCUGGUAGUCCAUGCCGUAAACGUUGGGCACUAGGUGUGGGGGACAUUCCACGUUUUCCGCGCCGUAGCUAACGCAUUAAGUGCCCCGCCUGGGGAGUACGGCCGCAAGGCUAAAACUCAAAGGAAUUGACGGGGGCCCGCACAAGCGGCGGAGCAUGCGGAUUAAUUCGAUGCAACGCGAAGAACCUUACCAAGGCUUGACAUAUACCGGAUCGUUCCAGAGAUGGUUCUUCCCCUUUGGGGUCGGUAUACAGGUGGUGCAUGGUUGUCGUCAGCUCGUGUCGUGAGAUGUUGGGUUAAGUCCCGCAACGAGCGCAACCCUCGUUCCAUGUUGCCAGCACGUGAUGGUGGGGACUCAUGGGAGACUGCCGGGGUCAACUCGGAGGAAGGUGGGGAUGACGUCAAAUCAUCAUGCCCCUUAUGUCUUGGGCUUCACGCAUGCUACAAUGGCCGGUACAAAGGGUUGCGAUACUGUGAGGUGGAGCUAAUCCCAAAAAGCCGGUCUCAGUUCGGAUUGAGGUCUGCAACUCGACCUCAUGAAGUCGGAGUCGCUAGUAAUCGCAGAUCAGCAACGCUGCGGUGAAUACGUUCCC
rnacentral:rRNA from 1 species